rnacentral:rRNA from 1 species
AUGCUGCACCAGGAACAAUAUCACACUGGCUCGGAGGAGAGAGGGGCCGACACCAGCUGGGCAUAUGCCCUCACCAUGCAUCUACGAGCCCCGGCACGGCACAUCCGGUAUGCCAUCUUUGAAGAAGGCCACUACCUCCUCGCCUGGAUCGAAGGCGCUGCACCGUCGCAAGAUGGGAUGCCGGAAGAUGGCCUCGUAGAGAGGGUUAGCACAUCCCCAACGAGACGCCGGAGGCUCUCCUUGAGCAGAACAUCGUCGUUGCACACAUCCAACACCAGAUGGGGGAAGUUUCACGUUAGAUGCAUUUAUCUAAUCAGCACAAGAUACAUAUAUACAUCAUUAGCCCACAUGUGCAUAGAUGACUAUCUAAUCAACAUACAAAUGGAUGCAUAUUUCCAAGAAAACUUACAGUAUGGUGUUAGCAUACAUGUGCAUAUAAGAAUCCAACUACAUUUUCAGCUAGCUAUAACAAGUAACAAUCGAGCAACUGACAUACCACACCACCUAAAUUAA